GACGUAGGGCGCGAGCGUUGUCCGGAUUUAUUGGGCGUAAAGAGCUCGUAGGCGGCUUGUCGCGUCGUGUGUGAAAUCUCAGGGCUCAACUCUGACAUUGCAUACGAUACGGGCAGGCUUGAGUUCGGUAGGGGAGACUGGAAUUCCUGGUGUAGCGGUGGAAUGCGUAGAGAUCCGGAAGAACACCGGAGGCGAAGGCGGCUUGCUGGGCAUGGUCUGACGCUGAGGCGCGAAAGCGUGGGGAGCGAACAGG
rnacentral:rRNA from 1 species